rnacentral:rRNA from 1 species
UACGGGGGGGGCAAGCGUUGUUCGGAAUUACUGGGCGUAAAGGGCUCGUAGGCGGUUUGUCGCGUCGGGAGUGAAAACUCAGGGCUUAACCCUGAGCCUGCUUCCGAUACGGGCAGACUAGAGGUAUGCAGGGGAGAACGGAAUUCCUGGUGUAGCGGUGAAAUGCGCAGAUAUCAGGAGGAACACCGGUGGCGAAGGCGGUUCUCUGGGCAUUACCUGACGCUGAGGAGCGAAAGUGUGGGGAGCGAACAGG